AAAAAAAUCUUGAUUGAAACAAAUGAGUUAUUUUGAUAGGAGCUUGAUGGGUUUUUUUAAAACUCUGGUUUCAUUUCUUUUUCCCUCGUUUUCUCUGAACCAAACAGAAACGUAUAAUUGAUUCAUUGAAAAUUUGGUUUGUUCUGUUCUUUUCUGAAUUUGGGAUUCACUGUACUGAUCUGAUUAUAUUGAGAUUUCAGAAAAAGGGCUAAAUAUGUCUAUGAUCAGUUCAUUUUUAAAAUUUCUCCUUUGUGUAUUCUGUUUGGUUCCCAGGAUAACAGGGAGAAAAUUGUGAAUAGGGAAAACUGAAACAUAACAGAUUAUUUAUUAUUCUUGACAACCAAAGAGUGCCUUGCAAGAUCUGUUUUUCGUAAUUUUUUGAAAAUGGUCUGCGUGAAAAAUCUGUACCUAGAAAAUGUUGUGGUUUAUGGGGCUCUUUAACAUUUGGUGUUACUUUGAGUUUUUGUGUAGUUAGAAUCAUUGCAACCUUUGAACAUUGAAAGUUCAUUUAGUUAAAAGUUAUGAAUGGAAUUUAGUUUUUUUGGAAAGUUUUGUUCCAAUGGUUAAUGGGUCGAUGAGCUUUCAUACGAAAUCUGUGGGGCUUUUGUGAACACAUUGUUGAAAUCCCGUGUCUUGUGUGUGUCUGUUUGUUGAAUACCAGAUAAGAGUGACCAUUGUAAGUAAAUUUAAAACGUGGAAGUGAAGAUUUAUGACAUGGUAGGAAGAGUCGUAUUUGUUAGGGGUGUUUGAUUUUAUGCAUGCCUAUUGCAGUAUGUAUACUACAAGUCUUUUUGUGAGCUGGGUUUGUCAUGCAGUAGAAUGAUCUUAAAUAUUAUUUAUAUUUUCUUGGUUUAGUGCAGAAGAGAUUUUAGUGUGUACAGAUUUUGUUUUUACAUGCUGCUCUUUGCCUCUCUCCCCAUCCCCUUUAAAGUUUUAACAAUUUUAGAUAAGUGGGCAACUUCCUAGAAUGCUCUCUGCAAAUUUGUUAAAUUUGGAACAUAAUCUCCAAUAAGGCAAUAACUUACUUUGGGAUUGGCCAAUGACUUUUAGCUCAAAUGAUACUUCUUCAUCCCUCAAUUAUGGGAUGGAUGCCAAGGUGGUGGGUUCAAGAUCCAUUGGGUGUAUGUGUAACUUACUAAUUUCUUAAAAACAAAACUUACUUUGGGUAUUGGAAAUAUAUGCUUUUGGCAGAGUUGGUUGCUACUAUUUUUUAGCUAUUAUGGAGCAGCCACUGAAAGUAGAAAUCAUCUCUGCUAUGAUUGUAGCUUUUCAAGAAAAUCUUUGUAGGAUCCUGAUUUUUUGUGAAAUAGCAGGAAGUGUCCAUCUCUUGGAAUGCUGACAGAGUGGUCCAUUAAGAAUUGGAAAGAGAGUAAGCGACAGAUUAAUAAAGAAAAAAGAUGGAGAAAGUUGUUCAUUUCCCAAAACUCCCUAUUGAGUUUCUCAUGCGGCCUUCUUCUAACAACAACAGAGAUGUUUUAAUCAAAACGAUGCCUUCUGCAUCAAAGCCUGAGAUCAAGAGGGUUCUGGAAUCAGUAUAUGGUUGCGAAGUUGAAAAGGUACGGACACUAAAUAUGCGAGGAAAGAAAAAGAUGAGAGGGGGGCGCUUGAUUGCAAGACCAGAUUACAAGAAGGCUUAUGUGACUCUAAAGAAUCCUUCAUCCUUCUCUCCCGACAUGAAUCCUAUCCAUUUAGUUAAAGAGGAAAAGAAUAAAUAAAGUCAAAUUCAAGCAUCGUCACAAAGUGAGGAAUCUCACUAGCUUGACUAGGAUUUAAUUUUGAGAAGUAAUCAAGUCAGGGAGGCAGAAGUGGCAUUUAUGUUGAUCCAGCAUCGCCCAUCGGUUCUAUUCCAGAUUCAUAACUAGAAAGUUUCUCAUAUUAAUUCAACAGCCCUUUUCAUUGCUUUUUGAAAUGAAACUCUAUUCUU